GAUGAACGCUGGCGGCGUGCCUAAUACAUGCAAGUCGAGCGAACGGACGAGAAGCUUGCUUCUCUGAUGUUAGCGGCGGACGGGUGAGUAACACGUGGAUAACCUACCUAUAAGACUGGGAUAACUUCGGGAAACCGGAGCUAAUACCGGAUAAUAUUUUGAACCGCAUGGUUCAAAAGUGAAAGACGGUCUUGCUGUCACUUAUAGAUGGAUCCGCGCUGCAUUAGCUAGUUGGUAAGGUAACGGCUUACCAAGGCAACGAUGCAUAGCCGACCUGAGAGGGUGAUCGGCCACACUGGAACUGAGACACGGUCCAGACUCCUACGGGAGGCAGCAGUAGGGAAUCUUCCGCAAUGGGCGAAAGCCUGACGGAGCAACGCCGCGUGAGUGAUGAAGGUCUUCGGAUCGUAAAACUCUGUUAUUAGGGAAGAACAUAUGUGUAAGUAACUGUGCACAUCUUGACGGGUACCCUAUCAGAAAGCCACGGGCUAACUACGUGCCAGCAGCCGCGGUAAUACGUAGGUGGCAAAGCGUUAUCCGGAAUUAUGGGGCGUAAAGCGCGCGUAGGCGGUUUUUUAGUCUGAUGUGAAAGCCCACGGCUCAACCGUGGAGGGUCAUUGGAAACUGGAAAACUUGAGUGCAGAAGAGGAAAGUGGAAUUCCAUGUGUAGCGGUGAAAUGCGCAGAGAUAUGGAGGAACACCAGUGGCGAAGGCGACUUUCUGGUCUGUAACUGACGCUGAUGUGCGAAAGCGUGGGGAUCAAACAGGAUUAGAUACCCUGGUAGUCCACGCCGUAAACGAUGAGUGCUAAGUGUUAGGGGGUUUCCGCCCCUUAGUGCUGCAGCUAACGCAUUAAGCACUCCGCCUGGGGAGUACGACCGCAAGGUUGAAACUCAAAGGAAUUGACGGGGACCCGCACAAGCGGUGGAGCAUGUGGUUUAAUUCGAAGCAACGCGAAGAACCUUACCAAAUCUUGACAUCCUUUGACAACUCUAGAGAUAGAGCCUUCCCCUUCGGGGGGGCAAAGUGACAGGUGGUGCAUGGUUGUCGUCAGCUCGUGUCGUGAGAUGUUGGGUUAAGUCCCGCAACGAGCGCAACCCUUAAGCUUAGUUGCCAUCAUUAAGUUGGGCACUCUAAGUUGACUGCCGGUGACAAACCGGAGGAAGGUGGGGAUGACGUCAAAUCAUCAUGCCCCUUAUGAUUUGGGCUACACACGUGCUACAAUGGACAAUACAAAGGGCAGCGAAACCGCGAGGUCAAGCAAAUCCCAUAAAGUUGUUCUCAGUUCGGAUUGUAGUCUGCAACUCGACUACAUGAAGCUGGAAUCGCUAGUAAUCGUAGAUCAGCAUGCUACGGUGAAUACGUUCCCGGGUCU
rnacentral:rRNA from 1 species